rnacentral:piRNA from 1 species
UAUGAACAUCAGAGGUGACAUUGGGC